GACGAACGCUGGCGGCGUGCCUAAUACAUGCAAGUCGAACGCAGUGGGGACGGGUGAGUAACACGUGGGUAACCUCCCAUCAGAGGGGAUAACACUUGGAAACAGGUGCUAAACCGAUACUGAUGGAUGAACCCAUAUGGGAUUAGCUAGUAGGUGGGGUAAAGGCUCACCUAGGCGACGAUCCCUAGCGGGUCUGAGAGGUUGAUCAGCCACACUGGGACUGAGACACGGCCCAGACUCCUACGGGAGGCAGCAGUGGGGAAUAUUCCGCAAUGGGCGCAAGCCUGACCCAGCCACGCCGCGUGUAUGAAGAAGGUCUUCGGAUUGUAAAGCUCUUUCAGCGGGGAGGCGUUACCCGCCGAGGAAGCACCGGCUAACUCCGUGCCAGCAGCCGCGGUAAUAC
rnacentral:rRNA from 1 species